GGCUUGUUGGUCUAGUGGCAUGAUUCUCGCUUUGGGUGCGAGAGGCCCGGGUUCGAUUCCCGAACAAGCCC
rnacentral:tRNA from 1 species